UACAGAGGAGCCAAGCGUUGUCCGGAUUGACUGGGCGUAAAGCGCACGCAGGCGGAUGCGCGCGUGGGGUGUGAAAUCUGGCCGCUUAACGGCCAGGCGCCAUCCCAUACGGCGCGUCUGGAGUGAUGCAGAGGUCGGUGGAAUUGCCGGUGUAGUGGUGAAAUGCGUAGAGAUCGGCAGGAACACCCAGGGGGAAACCAGCCGACUGGGCAUCUACUGACGCUGAGGUGCGAGAGCGUGGGGAGCGAGCCGG
rnacentral:rRNA from 1 species